UUUCACUGGAUGAUCAUCUUCAAUAAAUCCAUAAUUAAAACUCUAAUAAAAUAUUAGCGUUUUCAACAGCUUCAAGGCAAAGAGGGAAGAUAUUAAGGAAGAGAGAAAAGGGGAGAGAAGGAGUACAAG
rnacentral:lncRNA from 1 species